AAAUCUUGAGUGAUCGUCAAUGAAUGUAAUAAAGUGCAGGCUCUUGAUUUUUGGGCUGAUUACUGAUGUUGGGGUUCCUCGGGCCACAUGAUUCAAAUUUUAAAUGUUGAAUUUUGGGCUGACUACUGUCACAGAUCACGUGGACUUGUUUGUACUGCUGCCAGAUUUGUUUUUUGAAUUGUGUACUUAACAUGGGCUGAUGUUAUUUGGAACUUGGGC
rnacentral:lncRNA from 1 species